AUUGAACGCUGGCGGCAGGCCUAACACAUGCAAGUCGAACGAGUGGCGGACGGGUGAGUAAUGUCUGGGAAACUGCCUGAUGGAGGGGGAUAACUACUGGAAACGGUAGCUAAUACCGCAUACCAUCGGAUGUGCCCAGAUGGGAUUAGCUAGUAGGUGGGGUAAAGGCUCACCUAGGCGACGAUCCCUAGCUGGUCUGAGAGGAUGACCAGCCACACUGGAACUGAGAAACGGUCCAGACUCCGAGGGGAGGAAGCAGUGGGGAAUAUUGCACAAUGGGCGCAAGCCGGAUGCAGCCAUGCCGCGUGUAUGAAGAAGGCCUUCGGGUUGUAAAGUACUUUCAGCGGGGAGGCGUUACCCGCAGAAGAAGCACCGGCUAACUCCGUGCCAGCCGCCGCGGUAAUAC
rnacentral:rRNA from 1 species